rnacentral:rRNA from 1 species
AUACGUAGGGUGCAAGCGUUAUUCGGAAUUACUGGGCGUAAAGCGUGCGCAGGCGGUUUUGUAAGACCGUGGUGAAAUUCCCGGGCUCAACCUGGGAACUGCCAUUGUGACUGCAAGGCUGGAGUGCGGCAGCGGGGGAUGGAAUUCCGCGUGUAGCAGUGAAAUGCGUAGAUAUGCGGAGUAACACCGAUGGCGAAGGCAAUCCCCUGGGCCUGCACUGACGCUCAUGCACGAAAGCGUGGGGAGCAAACAGGAUGAGGUACCCUGGUAGUCCACGCCCUAAACGAUGUCAACUGGUUGUUGGGGAUUUAUUUUCUCAGUAACGAAGCUAACGCGUGAAGUUGACCGCCUGGGGAGUACGGCCGCAAGGUUAAAACUCAAAGGAAUUGACGGGG